AAAUAAAUUAUUUCUAGUUUUGUUAUUUAUUUUAAGCUUGUAAAUUAUAUGUGAAUUAUAGUAUUAUUUAAUAUUCAUGUUUUAAUAAUGAAUUUUAUAAGUAAAAUAAUAUUUAAUAUUGAUUAAUUAAAGAAAUUUAAAUUCAGUUUAGUUUAUUAAGUAUUAAUAAAAAUUGUGCCAGCAAUUGCGGUUAUACAAUUAAUAAAAAUAAAUAUAAGUUUAAAUUUAAUAAAUUAAUUUAUUAUAAUUUUAAAUAAAGAUUUGUUAGAUAAAAUAAAAAUUUUUUAAUUAAAAUAAUGUUAAAAAAUUUGAUUUAGUAAAAAUUUAUUAUAAACUAGGAUUAGAUACCCUAUUAUAAAAUUAAUUAGAUUAGAUUAAUAAAUUAGUAUUAGAUAAAUUCUUUAAAUUUAAAGAAUUUGACGGUAUUUUAAUCAAUUUAGAGGAGCUUGUUUAGUCAUUGAUAUUCCACGAUUAAUAAGACUUAAUUUAGUGUUUGUAUAUCGUUGUUAAAAAAUUAUUUUUUAAAAAAAAUAAAUAUUUAGGAGGUAAAAAAAAAAUUAUAUCAAAUCAAGAUACAGUUUAUAGUUGAGUUAAUUAUGAGCUACAAUGAAAAUAUUUUUAGAUAAUAAAUUGAAUAAAUUUAUUAGAAAUUGGAUUUAAAAGUAAAUUUAAAAUUUUAUUUAAAUUGAAUAAAGUUUUAAAAUAUGUACAUAUUGCCCGUCGCUCUCAUUGAUUAGUGAGAUAAGUCGUAACAUAGUAGAAGUAUUGGAAAAUGUUUCUAGAAUGAU
rnacentral:ncRNA from 1 species